GCCAGGUGUGGUGGCGCAUGCCUGUAAUCCCAGCAGCUAGGGAGGCUGAGGCAGGAGGAUUAGGAGUUCAAAGCCAGCCUCAGCAACAGCAAGGCACUAAAGAAUUCAGUGAGACCCUGUCUCUA
rnacentral:sRNA from 1 species